UCGCAUCGCCGCGCCUAAUCGGUGGCGAG
rnacentral:sRNA from 1 species